AGAAGGCAAAUAAAAAGAGGGGCGGGAGGCAGCCAAGAAAAGGGAAGGAAACGAGCUGCUCGCGGAGGUCGAAGCGGGUGAGGCGCUGGGCACUCUGGGCACCGUUGUGAAAGGAUCGCAAGGACGGGUCGAAUCGAAAGAGAAGAAGAUUACUCUCUCUGAGGAGCAGGAGGAGGAGGAGGAGUACCAACAACAAAUGUGAGAGAGGGGGAGGAAGAAGCGAGAAAUAAGAGAUCGUUACCAGCUUCUUUUUGAUUCUCAAGCUGGCAAGGCUUCUUUGCCUCCUCCUCAGUGUUGUUAGUCCACAUGAUGCUUCCUUUUCUCGUGUAGCAAGAUCGACAAUUCUUCGUCCUGAUUGAUUGUGGAUUCAUAACUUUGAGAGGGGCAUAGGUAGAUAUCUCAAACUUGUUUCCAGUGAGGGCCUGGAUUUCGGUCGCGCGUCGAAAACAUGUUGGAGAGCCAGUCGUUUUUGAUCUCCAGAGCAUUGCCGAGCUCCUGUGAGCAAGAAUCGAAAUUGGCUUACAUGACUUACCAUCUCCUUGAGAUCACUACCAACAAACGCCCUACGAUCGUGGAAUCUUUCGAGCUAAAUGAAGCUGCUAUGAUAAAGAAGGCUAAAUCUGCAGACGACCUGGGACCUCCCUUUCAGGAAGAAAAAGCAUUGCCUCUUGAUGAAUCCAAUUAUAAUGGCCAGCACUCUGAUACAAAUUCUCUUAUUGGUCAAAUCGGCUGCGACAUGUCUAUAAAGUGUCUCCUUCACUGCUCUCGGUCGGACUUUGGUGCCCUUGCAUCGCUGAACCGGGCUUUCAAUUCCCUGUUCCGGACUGGUGAGCUCUACAAGCUACGGCGGCAGACUGGGAUCAUCGAGCACUGGGUGUACUUCUCUUGCAACAUACUUGAGUGGGAAGCAUAUGAUCCCUAUUGUGGGCGCUGGAUUACUCUUCCAAAAAUGCCUCAGAAUGAUUUCUUCAUGCGCUCUGAUAAGGAAUCGCUGGCUGUGGGCACCGAGCUCCUCGUUUUUGGAAGGGACUACACCUCGCGUAUUGCCCAUAUAGUGCUGAGGUAUAGCAUUCUGACGAAUUCUUGGUCCCAAGGUAUUGAAAUGAACUCCCCUAGGUGCUUGUUUGGAUCCGCCAGCUUUGGCGAAGUAGCUAUCGUUGCCGGUGGUGUAGAUGCUCAAAAUACUAUAUUGAGUUCUGCAGAGCUCUAUAAUUCUGAGACGCAAACGUGGGUAACACUUCCUAGCAUGAAUAAACCAAGGAAAAUGUGUUCAGGUGUCUUUAUGGACAACAAGUUCUAUGUGAUUGGCGGAAUGCGUAGCCCUACCGAAUUGCUGACGUGCGGGGAAGAAUAUGAUACGGAGAGACAUAGCUGGAGGGUCAUUCCAAAUAUGUCUCUAGGACUGAAUGGUCCAAGUGGUGCACCUCCAUUGGUGGCAGUAGUCAAUAAUGAGCUAUAUGCAGCUGAUUAUGCAGAAAAGGAGGUCAGGAAGUAUGACAAGGAGAAUAACUCUUGGGUCACUCUUGGAAGAUUGCCUGAGAGACCAGAUUCAGUGAACGGUUGGGGUCUAGCUUUUCGGGCUUGUGGUGAUCGACUCCUAGUGAUCGGUGGACCGAGGGUGCUUGGGGGAGGGAUGAUUGAACUGAAUUCAUGGACACCGAGAGAUGGACCUCCAGAGUGGAAACUGAUUGCUAGGAAGCACUGUGGAAGCUUUGUGUAUAACUGUGCUGUAAUGGGCUGCUGAGAUUUGUCUGAAGAUACGCUGCAUAUCUUCUUGCGGUACGAGUAUGUGCAAGAUUGACUGGUCAAAGGGCAUAAAACACCGAUUGUGCCAGGGCACUCUGGCUUUCGAAAAUUUCAGAUUUGAUAGGGCAAUCACUUUCUACUAUGUAAAACUCGAGAUACAUCUUCUUCCUUUCAUCUUCUAGCUUUGCCUUCAUCUAAUCUAAAGCCAAAUAUAUUUAACUUCUUCCAAAUUGCCCUUCAACAGGAUAGUGUUCUCGUGGAUCAUGCAAGAAAAUGGCACAUAAUAAUUCGGUGUAGCUGCAUGUUCAUUGGUUCCCUUGGAACUCUUCGAGCUUGUUAGCUUUCCAGUGUGGUGUCAGUCAUCAAACACCGGAUUCUUCAUCUAAUUCUCUGUGUAGGUGGUGUCAGUCAUCAAACACCGGAUUCCUCUCCUCUCCAAUUUAAACAUGCAAACUUAGGAAGAUUUCUGAGAAGCAACCGUAGUUGGACAAGAAUGGAGAAUCAGAGGGGUAGACGAGUUGCAAGUUUUAUGGGGUUCUACUCGUAUGUUUAAGAUUGAACUCUUUUAAGUACUUUUCUAUGCCUGGAGUUUGAUGCUUGCCCAUUGUCCAUCUCGCAUCUGUCUUUUUUAUGGAUCCAUAAGGAUGAAGAUUUACUGUGAAAAUAUAUGUGCAAUUAUUGAACAUAUUAAAUAGAAGAAAUUUAUUGAUGAAGUUAUUUCCCUGA